CCUUAUUUGCGUCACUCAUAGAAACAAAUGACGCAAAUAAGAUAUUUUGACAACCUUAUAAGUAAUUUGCGUCGGGCAUUUGUUAUAAAGCGACGCAAAUGUCAAACAUAUUUCAACUUAUUUAUAUUUACGUCGCUUUUAUAAGUAGGAGCGACGCAUAUAACAAUGUUAUUUGCGUCACUCGUUUAUUGACAAGUGACGCAAAUAACCUUUGUGAGUCAAUUGCGUCAUUUCUUUCUUUACUGAGUGACGCAAAUGACCAUUACGACUUAUAUUAAUUCUCGCUGCCUUCUGCUGUUCGAACUUCAAUACUCCAAACCCUAGAAAAUUCAACCCCAAAAUUCCCAGAAAUUCAACAUCAAAACCCCAAAAAGUUGAUCGGUAAAACCCCUGAAUUCCCCAUUGCUGCUUUGCUGCUGUUCAACCCCCUAAACGUCAGCGAAUUAAGAGUAAUACCUCGAGAAAUUCGUCUUCAUAACCUACCAAUUUGACCACUAAUCAAAAAUCCCAGGAAAUGUGAGGCAAAACCCCUUAUAUUCGAGCAAAUCCGAGCAAAAAUCCCCUACUUUCUUGCAAAAAAUCUACCCAAAAUCCCCACGAAAUUCAAUUGCAAAAAAUCGAGCAAAUUACCUUAAUUAUAAUUUGAGCAAUAUAACAAUUGAAAGUUAGGGUUUGUACUCAAUAAUAUGGAAUUUUGGCUCUAUUGUUGCUGAAGUUGCAUAUGCAAAAUCGAUUUCAAGCAAGGAACUGGUGACUUUAUUUAAACUGUUUGCAAGAGAAAAAGGAAGUGGACUUCCAUUAUGGACUUGUUCGAUCGUGUUAGGGAAAAUGAAGAUUUUGUCCCUAAAUUGAAUUACGCUGGCUUCAAAUUCCAUAUUAUUUAUUGGAUUAUUUUGUUAUAGUUCUUAGGCUUGAAAUGAACGCAUUUGAUUUACCAACAUUUGGGUUGGUUUGGUGCUUGUGUUAUACUUAUUAAUUAAUGAUGAAGAGGUCAAUAUUGUUUUGUUGUAAACUUAGCGCAUGUUGGACUCUUGUUUUGGAUUAUAGGAUUGAAAUGAAAUUUGGUUAAUUGGUGUUGGGAUGAUGAGUAUAAUGUCUAUGAUAUUGAGAUGUAAAUUAGUGGACAGGUUGUUAAUAUAAUGCCGUCAUUCCCAAUUUUAUGGGUAGGCCAAAUUACAAAGGAGACUCUGCCGAAAUUUACAUUUGCAUUAUUCAAUAAUAUUGCAUUUUAAUUUCAA